rnacentral:rRNA from 1 species
UACGUAGGGCGCAAGCGUUAUCCGGAAUUAUUGGGCGUAAAGAGCUCGUAGGCGGUUUGUCGCGUCUGCCGUGAAAGUCCGGGGCUCAACUCCGGAUCUGCGGUGGGUACGGGCAGACUAGAGUGAUGUAGGGGGAGACUGGAAUUCCUGGUGUAGCGGUGGAAUGCGCAGAUAUCAGGAGGAACACCAAUGGCGAAGGCAGAUCUCUGGGCCGUAACUGACGCUGAGGAGCGAAAGCAUGGGGAGCGAACAGG